rnacentral:rRNA from 1 species
CCUACGGUGGGCUGCAGUGAGGAAUAUUGGUCAAUGGGCGAGAGCCUGAACCCGCCAAGUCGCGUGAGGGAGUACUGCCCUCUGGGUUGUAAACCUCUUUUGUCGGGGAGCAAAAGCCGGACGUGUCCGGCUGUGAGAGUACCCGAAGAAAAAGCAUCGGCUAACUCCGUGCCAGCAGCCGCGGUAAUACGGAGGAUGCGAUCGUUAGCCGGAUUUAUUGGGUUGAAAGGGUGCUCAGGCGGAUUUUUAAGUCAGCGGUCAACUCGUGGGGCUCAACCCCAUCCAGCCGUUGAAACUGGGGAUCUAGAGUGUGCGAGAGGUAUGCGGAAUGCGUGGUGUAGCGGUGAAAGGCAUAGAUAUCACGCAGAACCCCGAUUGCGAAGGAAGCAUACCGGUGCACAACUGACGCUCAGGCACGAAAGCGUGGAUAUCGAACAGGAUUAGAUACCCGAGUAGUC